CGUUAUAUGGCCGAAUUGGUAAAGGCAUCGCCGAUCACAGGCGAGUAUGCGGGUUCGAGUCCCGCUGGAACGG
rnacentral:tRNA from 1 species